UGGGGAAUAUUGCACAAUGGAGGGAACUCUGAUGCAGCCACGCCGCGUGAGUGAUGAAGGACUUCGUUUCGUAAAACUCUGUUCUAUGGGAAGAAAAGGACUGUACCAUAGGAGAAAGCUACGGCUAAAAACGUGCCAGCAGCCGCGGUAAUACGUAUGGAGCGAGCGUUGUCCGGAAUUAUUGGGCGUAAAGGGUGCGCAGGCGGCUUUACAAGUUGGAUGUGAAAUAUUGUGGCUCAACCACAAACGUGCAUCCAAAACUGCAAAGCUUGAGUUAAGGAGAGGUAAGUGGAAUUCCUGGUGUAGCGGUGAAAUGCGUAGAUAUCAGGAGGAAUACCGGUGGCGAAGGCGACUUACUGGACUUAAACUGACGCUCAGGCACGAAAGCGUGGGGAGCAAACAGG
rnacentral:rRNA from 1 species